rnacentral:lncRNA from 15 species
CCAACGUCUCUGGGUGUUUCUGCCCUUUAUCAUAAGACACUCUCAGCCAGGGCAGGCCCAUUGUGGCUGAUCAGACCUGGGUGUGUGUCUCGUGGUUACCCUCUAGAUGGUCACUUGGCAGUACAGACAGUGUCUCUUCUUUUCAGCCACAGUCAGUGACUGCUCCUUUCAGCAGCAUUGGGUUUGAUUGCCUUUCUAUGUGCACGCUCUCUGAUUCCUACAUCCCUCAGGAGCAAAAAUAAAACCUGAUCUGAAAUGGCUACAGUUAAGGUUUGGUUAGAUUUACACACAAAAAUGACUUGGUUAGGGUUUCUGCAAAGGGGAAACACAAUCAUCAGUCAGUGGAUCCACCCAUCCGUCCCUCCAUCGUGCCCAGGGGCCCCCCGGGCCACUCCUAACCCCAGAACACUGCACCCUCCCUGGGAUGAAACCUGGCCGCGCGCCCCCUCUCCCCUCCCUGGAGCCUCCAUGGAGCCGCUGGCUUCGACUCGUCUUACAGGGCGUCGAUUCAGCCUGAAAUCAAACCCCGGUGAGAGAACACAGGCCUGGAUGGACAGACAGAUAGAUGGAUCGACAGAGGUGGAUACGUGGGGAGCAGAUGAACGGAUGCAUCCAGGCCAGGUUGAGGGAACAAGAAGACGUCCACAGGGACAAGUGGAGAUGAAUAGAGGCUGGAAGUGUGUCACUUUCCUGCGGGAGGUGGGGAAUGUAAUUUAGCAACCCUCCCAAACUUGAUCAAGCCUGAUUCUUUUACUCUAUCUAGUUUUUAACCAAAAACACAGAAAUCUGUCAUGAAACAGAGCUGUGGGAAGGAGAGAGAGUGGAACAGGAGACUCCUCUAUUUUCCAGCUGUUGUUUCAGUGAACACACAAAAACACACAGACACACAGACACACAGACACACACGCACACACACACACACCCAAGAGCAAUUCCAGGGAAAAGCCAAAGCUACUGUAAACAGCACAUAUGGGAGAUAGGGAAGGAGCGACCACACGUGGGCACACACGUACAACUAAAAUGUGAGUCCAUGCUGCAUAAAAAAGGUGCUUACAAAGUUUGUCCAUGUCAUAAACUGAUAUAUACUGUUAGGUGUGCUUGUGAGAGAGAAAACAGGGUCAGUGUUGUGUGCAUGUACUGUAAUAUCAUCUCAUGCCCUAGAUUGUAGUGAGGUAUACUGACACACACACACACACACACACACACACACACACACACACAAAAACAGUUCCCUGCUCCUCUACAGGGAUCAUCUCAAACUGUAAAACUAACAGGUACAUUGACAGAACUGUUGCAUUUGGUAAAUAAAAGGUGGUUAGAAAAAAUAUGUCAUGAAUAAAAGAAAAAAAAAAAGGAUUUCAAUGUAUCAACAUACAUGUUCUCAAGAACAUGAAGAACAGAGUAACUUAAAAAGGAGAGACAAAGACAAGUACACAAACAAAAGAAGGUGAUCUAUGAAAAGGCUUGCCUAUAGAUGUGGGUUUUGAGGAGACGCUUUAACCAAUCCAGGGAUUCAGUGUGUUUAUUAAAAUGUGUUGCACUUGAGAAAUAAACUAAACUAAUGUUAUCAUGUACACACAAAGACUACAAAAAGCAAUCCUUACAAGAUGAACUAUGUCGUACUGUUUGUGCUGCAUGCGUGGACCCUUCAUCUAAUUACAGUUGUGGAAUUACAGGUGCAGUCAUGAUAAUGACAUACACAUUCGCAUACACACAUCCUUGUACAGAAUUGUCAAUAGAUCCCAGUAAAAUACAAUGCGAAACCACUCUACAACCAUAGUACAGAAAAAGACAUCCUGCCACAUGUCAACAAUGCUCUACAAUAUGUAUGAUUGUCAGCAGAUCGCUUAAGCUGCACAUAGAUGACAGGCAGGCUGACAGUAAUGACAUUAAAACCAACCACAGUGGUCAGCAGCUCCUGGCUUCUUAUGUGAAAACCAGUUGUAAGGAGUUUAACUUGUGUAAGUACUGUGGAAUCCACUCUACUGAAAGGCCCAAAAACAAGCUUACGAAAGAAGAAACAUUUUGAUGUUUUGUCAUGGUUUCGAACCAUCGUCGGAGUAGAAAUGUCAUUAUUUUUUGAAAUGAAUAGUUAAUGAAUCAGCUUUAGUAACUAACCUCCAAAUAUGCACUCAUAUGUAGGGAAUAUGGGUGGGCUCAAGUCUCUUUUGAUCACUUGUAAUUCAGAUACAAGAAACUCAGUCACACAAUCUCUGAAUCUACCUAAGUUUAUUGCAACUCAUGGUUGUACUUUUAUUUAAAAUCCUAGAAUUUGUCUUUCUUUUUAUUCAAAUUAGUCUGCAAUGUAUCUUUCUCUUCUCUUUUUCUUUCCUCUCCUCUCUCCAUUUCAAGCAUCCAUCCCAAAGUUAACACGGAGGGAAAUAAACUUUGAAGCUCUGCAACCUCCAGGCACGAAGGAAAAUGAGAGAGGGGGGGGAAAGACAGCAAGACAUGCAGGUAGAUGAAGAGGGAGUGAGGAAGAGACUUGUUACUGAAUGUUUCCAUGCAACUAUCAAGUGAAUUUUACGCAAAGUUUUGAAAAGUCCCAGAAAGUAAAAUGUGGAUUAGGUGCACAUCCAUCAGCGGAAGUUGGGGUUUGGUAAGAACAAAAGAUAGAACAUAGAAACAGGGGGGAAAAAAUGGAUUUGGAUAAGACAGAAUUUAUAUUUCCUUACACUAAAUCAAACACUAAACAACUUCUCUGUCUCUCCAUCUGUCUACGUAUAGCUUUAGCUGAAAUUUUCCAGCUCUAGCUGCAGUAUUGGGUUUCCUGACAUUAGUGGCCCCCGUGGCGGCUCCGAGGCUGCUGCUCUUUGAAGCUUCAGUGGUGCUGCUCCGGCUCAUUUGGUAACAGGUUGGGAAUGGGCCGCUGGCGAAAAAUGAGACCCUGGUCGCCUUGGAAACAGGUCCCCCACCCACUUUCACAACGUGGUUUGGAGAGAACGUAGAGUGACAUUUAGCCAGUUUCUCACCGGAGAGCCAACGACACAUGGGGGGUUAACAGGUAAAUACAGAGUAAAUAAGAUUAAACAGACAAACUCAGCUGACAAUGUGUCAGAGCUCUAAUGAAACACUUUUAUGUGUGGUUGUAAAUGCCCCAACAAAAGGUGUUUCACUCUCCUUGUUUACACUUAAACAUGGAAAAUGUAUUCAUUUUAUUAAUUUAACUGAAAGCUUUACUACAUAGAGCAAAGUGGAAAAAAGCUUGUGGCUUUAAAUUGGAAGGGAGUCAAGGUAUCCUGUUUCUCUCCUCACAAGGAAACCAGCCCAGAAUCAGGCCCCCGGGCGCAUUUUGGGUCCCGACCCGUAGUUUAAGAAACCUGGUUUUGGACAAUUGGUUUCGGUGUAAUGAGUUUGUCUUCAAGGUGAUACCUGGUCAUUACUGUGUCAUGGCGGGGAAGUAAAAGGGGCUAAAUGUUACAGAGUGUUUAACGUAACAGGCUUUUGCUAACUGACCAACCAGAAGCAGGUCUCAGUUUACUGCAGCUGUGAGUCUAAAGGCACCACGGCAUCCUGGGAAGUGUAGUAAACAACUGUGGAAUUACCCGUUUCAUCCAAAUUAAUAGCAAGUUUUGUAAUGUCAGACACAAGGAAUUGUCCAUAUUAUCAUCAUUUCCAACACCAUCAUUUCAAGGGCUCUUUUUAAAAAAUAAAUAAAUGUAUUCCGUAUUUAUCUUUUUUGAACAAGUAAAUUAUAUAAAAAUGCACAAUCACAAUUAUUUUAAAAUUACAUUUACUCUAUCUCAAUGCAUUUUCCUUCUCAAGCGUCUCUGAGCAAGAUAACCUUGUUGAUGGUAAACUUUGUUUUCCUUAAUCAAAAAAGAACAACGUAUCGGUGCACUGAUAGUAAAGGGAUGUGCUAAUUUUUUUAUAUUUUUUUAGUGAACAUCUAUAAAAGCAAAAAAGGAAGAGCCAUACUCAUGUCACUCACUCUCUGAAUCAUGACCAAUACAUAAACCUUCCUUUACACUUGCUGCUCCACAAUACUUUACAGUACAGAUUUACAUUAUUUGGUAUUUCACUACCCAGUUUGGCACAAUAUUAUUACAGUUUUUGAUGCUAUUGCACAGCAUCUGGUAGUGAAGUACUUUAUACUCCAGCGUUGGUGUUCCAGGACUUUGUCCUUCAGUACUUUAAGCAAAAUUAAGUUAUUCUGCAGUUUAAGCAGUAAAUUAUAGCCAUAACUAAUUAUCAGCUGGCUGUGUCAUUUAGAUGGGUAAGCAGGUCGUGGGCAUAAUCAGAAACAUUUUCUAAUUUUUUAUUUUUUAUUUUUAGUGCAAACAGCUUUUCCCAGCAGUAAUCAAGGUGAGAGCAACCUGAUGCAAAGUAGUUUACAUUUCAGUCUAUAUGCUCUCCCUGCCCCACCCCCCCUUACUGUAUCUCUCUUUAUCCUUCAUAGUCUUACUCUCUUUUUCCCUUGUUUUACCUCAUCCCUGUGCAUCUUUCCCUCUCUGUCUCCCUCUCUGUGCUGCUGAUUAAGAACACAACCUGUUGUUGUCGCCACUCUUUCUUGAUUACCUAGUGCUAUUUUUUUUUAUCCCUUCAUCUUCCUCCUCCUCAUCUCCAUCUCUUUUUGGCCUAGCUGCUCGCUCAACCACACAGCGCGUGUAUGUGUGUGUGUGUGCGUGUGUGUGUGUGUGUGUGUGGCGGUGCGUGGCAGCCUAACGAGUUUGAUAGCUGUCACCUGAUCUCAGUGAUGAGGGUUGCUGUAGUAGCGAGAGGAGCGGGAGCGAGAGGAGAGUUAGGUUUCUCCGCUGUAAUUAGUUUUCCCAGCCUCUAAUUAUAC